rnacentral:rRNA from 1 species
UAAGGAAUAUUGGUCAAUGGACGAAAGUCUGAACCAGCCAUGCCGCGUGGAGGAUGAAGGUCCUCUGGAUUGUAAACUUCUUUUAUCUGGGACGAAAAAAGGUCUUUCUAGAUCGUCUGACGGUACCAGAUGAAUAAGCACCGGCUAACUCCGUGCCAGCAGCCGCGGUAAUACGGAGGGUGCAAGCGUUAUCCGGAUUCACUGGGUUUAAAGGGUGCGUAGGUGGGUUGGUAAGUCAGUGGUGAAAUCUUCGAGCUUAACUCGGAAACUGCCAUUGAUACUAUCAGUCUUGAAUAUUGUGGAGGUUAGCGGAAUAUGUCAUGUAGCGGUGAAAAUGCUUAGAUAUGACAUAGAACACCAAUUGCGAAGGCAGCUGGCUACACAUAUAUUGACACUGAGGCACGAAAAGCGUGGGGAUCAAAACAGGAUUAAGAUACCCUGGUAGUCCACGCCCCUAAAACUAUGGAUACUCGACAUACGCGAUACACUGUGUGUGUCUGAGCG